GACGGGGGGGGCAAGUGUUCUUCGGAAUGACUGGGCGUAAAGGGCACGUAGGCGGUGAAUCGGGUUGAAAGUGAAAGUCGCCAAAAAGUGGCGGAAUGCUCUCGAAACCAAUUCACUUGAGUGAGACAGAGGAGAGUGGAAUUCCUGGUGUAGCGGUGAAAUGCGCAGAUAUCAGGAAGAACACCCGUGGCGAAGGCGGCUCUCUGGUACGUGACUGACGCUGAGACGCGAAAGCGUGGGGAGCGAACAGG
rnacentral:rRNA from 1 species